rfam:Gossypium arboreum cultivar AKA8401 contig_37982_1, whole genome shotgun sequence.
AACCAAUGGUGGAGGCACUUUCUCAAUAAAUCAUUAUUCCUCUCCCAUGUAUCGUAUAGGGUUUCUAAGUCCAUUUGCACAAAGAAAGAGAUAUCAUUCCUCAACUU